rnacentral:rRNA from 1 species
GACGAACGCUGGCGGCGUGCUUAACACAUGCAAGUCGAACGGAAAGGCCCUGCUUGCAGGGUACUCGAGUGGCGAACGGGUGAGUAACACGUGGGUGAUCUGCCCUGCACUUCGGGAUAAGCCUGGGAAACUGGGUCUAAUACCGGAUAGGAGCCAUUUUUAGUGUGAUGGUUGGAAAGUUUUUUCGGUGUAGGAUGAGCUCGCGGCCUAUCAGCUUGUUGGUGGGGUAAUGGCCUACCAAGGCGGCGACGGGUAGCCGGCCUGAGAGGGUGGACGGCCACAGUGGGACUGAGAUACGGCCCAGACUCCUACGGGAGGCAGCAGGGGGGAAUAUUGCACAAUGGGCGCAAGCCUGAUGCAGCGACGCCGCGGGGGGGAUGACGGCCUUCGGGUUGGAAACUCCGUUCGCUAGGGACGAAGCUUUUUGUGACGGUACCUAGAGAAGAAGCACCGGCUAACUACGUG